AUUUAUUAAAGGCGCGCAUCUAGAGGACGGUCACCUCAAAGUGUCUCUGAACCUUCGAAGCAGUGUACUCACUAUGCCAAACUUCGUGCAAAAGGGUUUAGUCUUCCCGCGUUUAAACGGUUCGUUUCAGGUGUCACACGAUUGUGUAUUGAUUAUUUUUUUCUUGUACGGACUAUAGAACUGUAUGUACGCAUAUAUUCAUACAAUUGUAUUGCAAAUACUUCAUUACGCAAAGACACACUAAUGUUUAUUGUUAUUGAAACAGAUGUAACGUACAAUGCAUUAAUAUGCACAUAUCACUUUGCGUUACAAUAGUAUUACAAUCGAGUGAAAAAUAACAAAGAUUCUUUGCAACUUGAAUUGUUAAGUUACGAAAUACAAAUAUUAAUGUAUUCUAGUAAACCGCUGCAUGCAUUUGAAAGUUUCAGGUCAACAAUAAGACUUAUAAUAGAAGAUACACGUACAUACUCGUAUACGUAACUAUUACAGUAUCUAACUCUAAAGACUAAGUAAAAUAGAAUAACAAGUCGUUAAAAUAAAAUCAAUAAUAAAUUUGUAGGAAGUCAGAAUGGUACUACGAGGUCAUCGGCAUCUUGACUUCAAAUUACAUAGAACUUUAUAAAAAUAACUCAAUCAUUGUUAUAAAAUUGUUAACUAAUAAAAAUUAAAUUUUGUAAAUGUAUAUAACUUUCUUUAAAAAUUCAUAUAUUUUAAAAAAUAGAGAGACAUAUAUUUAAACAACAUAGUUCAUAGAAAGAAUUACGUCAAAAAUUAUGAAAAUUGUUCACAUUGGUGACGCUGAAGACUACCAUUUACUUUAUCGUAGAUACAUCCCUGCGGUUUAUGCUUGCGCAUGCGCGUAUCUGUACGCACGAAGAGGUACUCGACUAAUCGCAUCGGGUGCCCCGGCCACGCUUCCCGCUCUUCGUUUCCUCGUGUUAUUUAGUGAACGUCUUUACGUUCUUUUCCGAAUUCUUGUUAUUUUGUGGUUACCCAAACGUCACGCGAUACCUUUGAAUUUUGCGCAUUAGUUAUAAUUGCAUAUAUUAAAGACAUCCUCUGGGUAUACAGAAUUUCUGCGCAUCAAUACGUUCGUGCAACGUCAACCUAACCCCCAAUAAGUGCAGGAGCCACGGACCUGACAUUCCAUUACGAUGUAUAAGGCUUUCCUCCAGGUUCCAAGAGAAAUAGCCCUGCUGAACAUUUUACGAUUGUACAAUGCUUGCUUACUUGUAAACGUCAAUGAACGCAUGCGCAUAAGAGAGUACCGUGAAUAGUCUGUCAUCAGGUUCGUAUAUAAGAUGGAGACACGAAAGAGGGAAACAUACCCAAAAUAUAGUAAAAAUAAUUUAUCUCAAUUUCAUUAGUAAAAUUUAUGUCUUGUUCAAGUAAUUAUAUCGUUUCGCACGUCAUAAGAAGUUAAAAAUAGAUUAAACGUUUUAAGAAAUAAAAGAACGUUAUUCUAUAACAAAGUUAUUGAUUUUUUAAUAUUCUAUAAAAAUCUACUGCUUGAUAUAUUAAUAUUAUUUUUUCAAUGAAAAUUUACAGAUUAUGUAGGCAUUAUAAACUUUGAUCUAUCUCAUUAACUUUCUUGCAGUGAUCUAUCGCGCUGUUAUAUUUAUUACUUAUUAUAAUUACGUAUAAACGUAUAAGCAAAUUUAAUAUUUAUUCAAGAAAAGAUAACAUGUUCUAAAGGUCCAAGGCGCAAUGUUCUAUAAUUCAUUCAAAUGUUUUAUGCUAACAGAACUAUUAUAUAUCUAUAUUCGUUGUUAUAUAUCUAUGAAUUGUAAACAAUUCGAAAGAAUAUGUAUGUACUUAGUAAGUAACAGAUUGUACAUUUGAAUUUGCACGUAAUGAGCUCUCAGUGAUCUACGGAUAACUGAGUUCGGAGCACCUGGCGCACAGCCAAUGCGGUUGAGAAAAACGUGUUAGUAUCACUAACAUCUUUCAUUAAGGACAGAUACAUAUUGUACAUACAUGUAUGUAUUCUUUGUAUUUCGUAUAUAACAAUUUUAUAUUUAA